AUUCCACACCAAGAAAAACAAAGUUAUUUGUUCAGAUCGUGAUAAUAACUGGGCUAAGCGUGUGAUGAAGAUAGUGGAUGGGAGAAAGAAAACAAAACCUUCCCAAAAACCUACUAUGUGCUAUUCAAGUACAACAAACAUUAUCCCAACUGUAAAUACAACAAACAAAACACCAGGAACAGAGACGGAGACCAGCUCGAGUACACCUGUAACACCAAUAGUGACGACAAUCAAAACAUCUGGUUUUAGUAACUUUCACUCACCUGAAAUGUAGAGAAGUUGAGCCGAUAUAGUAGCUAAUGAGAGAGUGCACAUGUGUUUAUAUCUUAUACUGUGAAUAUAAUGAUCACUCACCUCAAUACAAUGAUGUUCUUCUUCUACAGGUGAUGGACGUUUAGUAGACUGCUGUGAUACUGUGACAAACACCAGAAUACCAGUUGAAAAAAUUUUGCAUUAUGACAUGCAAGAAACAAAUCUAUGUCCUGCCAGAGCUAUUUCACACCAAGAAAAACAUAACUAUUUGUUCAGAUCCAGACAGCAUCUGGGCUAAAAAGGCAAAGGCGAUAGUGGAUGGGAGAACAACGAUCAAAACAUCUGGACCGGAGACAGAGACCAGCAAUAAAAACAUCCUACCAACUUCAGUGUCCAAAGACAACCCAGAAUCUACUGCGAUAACAUGUGGGACUUGUGAACCAGCUGCACUGCCAACAGAAACAAAACGGGAAACACCUGGAAUAGGCACAGUUACACCUCUGAAUACAUUUACAACAAAGGACAAUAUGGUGAUCACAACUUCACAUAAUCACACACCCAAGAGGACAACACCAUCAAAGUUAAAAAAAAAAAAACUUAGUAAAAGCAAGAAAGGACUUAGAAAAAUUCAGAUGAGAAUGAACCAUCUAAAAAAAAAAUCGGGAUAAAGCUGGACAAUUUGUAUAAUAUACACAUAGAUUACAAUAUUAUGCAUAUACAGUAACUUGCUGAAAGUAUUCUUCACAAAAAAAAAAAUAAUUAUGGACAAGUGCUUAGUGAGAGUCAAAGUUCGAUCAUCUGAAACUGCAGUGAUGGAAAAGAGGCCUUCAUCAUAUCUAUAUCUUACUAUAGUGAGGAUGCAGUGUCACACUAUCAUCACAUGGU